GGCGCUGUGGCGGAGUGGUUAACGCGUUAGACUUGAAUACACGUUCUUGACAUCUAAUCCAUUCGUGGGCAUCGGUUCAAAUCCGGUCGGCGUCG